UACGUAGGGGGCAAGCGUUGUCCGGAAUCAUUGGGCGUAAAGGGCGCGUAGGCGGCUUCUUAAGCGGGCGGUGAAAGCCCGGGGCUCAACCCCGGGUCGGCCGUGCGAACUGGGAAGCUCGAGCCCACUAGAGGCAGGCGGAAUUCCGGGUGUAGCGGUGGAAUGCGUAGAGAUCCGGAAGAACACCGGUGGCGAAGGCGGCCUGCUGGGGUGGAGCUGACGCUGAGGCGCGACAGCGUGGGGAGCAAACAGG
rnacentral:rRNA from 1 species